CGCCUGGUUCCAGUGAAAAGAAUGAGAAACCAUCAAGUGCUUUCAUAUGGGCUAAUAAAUACAGGGUCAACUGUCAACUACAAAAGCACAACCAUACCUGUUUGGAAACAUAAUCCAAAAAUUCUACUUUACAUUAAAGUAUUAGAAAUGAUUAUUGAACAAAAUUAUAAUUGCCAUUGUCCAAGUGUAACAGAAGAGGCAUCAAAAGGAAACAAGAGGGUUCUCAAGUUUAAUCCUUCCUUUUAAUAUGCAUGCGCAUUUCUAAGAGUGCUCAAUGGACCAAAAAAC
rnacentral:misc_RNA from 1 species